GGGCGAAUAGCUCAGUUGGUUAGAGCGCUACUCUUACAAAGUAGAUGUCGGGGGUUCGAGUCCCUCUUCGCCCA
rnacentral:tRNA from 2 species